CAGAUUUUAGCAAGGCAACCUUAAUAAAUUGAAAUAUUACUAUGGUAUUGCUAUACCCUACAUAUUCGAUAGCCUAAAAGCAGUAUUUAAUGCCAAAGCUAAAAUCCCUUAGCACUUAUCGCUCAGAUUGUAAAAAAUUUCAUACAAAUGCAAAUACACAAAAAAAGGAGUUUCUCUUUCUUUAGCUUCUCAAUUUCUUCAAUUAGAAAAAGCGAAGAUCUUG
rnacentral:misc_RNA from 1 species